UACGUAGGGUGCAAGCGUUUGUCCGGAAUUAUUGGGCGUAAAGAGCUCGUAGGCGGUUUGUCGCGUCUGCUGUGAAAACCCGAGGCUCAACCUCGGGCCUGCAGUGGGUACGGGCAGACUAGAGUGCGGUAGGGGAGAUUGGAAUUCCUGGUGUAGCGGUGGAAUGCGCAGAUAUCAGGAGGACACCAAUGGCGAAGGCAGAUCUCUGGGCCGUAACUGACGCUGAGGAGCGGAAGCAUGGGGAGCAAACAGG
rnacentral:rRNA from 1 species